rnacentral:tRNA from 1 species
UCCCGGUUAGCUCAAUGGUAGAGCACCUGGCUGUUAACCAGGUUGUUGCUGGUUCGAGUCCAGCACCGGGAG